rnacentral:tRNA from 1 species
ACUGUAGCGCAGUCGGUAGCGCAACUGAUUCGUAAUCAGUAGGUCAGGGGUUCAAGUCCCCUCAGU